GAAGUGACAUGGACACAUGGCUGCUGCAGAGAAGCAAGUCCCUGGUUGAAUUGUAUCAAAAUCCUUCGACGAUGUCGAUUACAGAUUAACGUGUCCGAUAAGUUCUCUCGUCGAUCUGCCCUUUUAGUCUUAGAUACUCCUCCGCUCUUGGGUGUUACUCCUCAGACCCUGAAAUCUCAAUCCUUCACGGAGCAGGGAAGCCAUUUCCUUUGGUCGACAUCUUGACAUUUCUGAUCAAAAGGGACUCUUAAGCACUUAAAUUAUCCAAAUAUAUAACAUGAUUUGAUUUUUAAUUUCUUUUUCUUCUUUUUGCUUCGCUGGAAAAAUAAUACCAGGGGGUUAGUAUCUAUUUAAUCCUGCGGAAAAGAUUUGUGGGAGAAGAGUGCGACAAAGCUAGAUGAGGGAGAAGCUGAGGGUUUUGUUGGGUGUUUGGAUAUUUUUGUGUGGGUGUUGUGUGGGUAGGUUUGUGGUGGAGAAGAACAACUUAAAAGUCACUUCUCCUAAAUCCUUGAGGGGCGUGUAUGAGUGUGCGAUUGGGAACUUUGGAGUCCCCAAGUAUGGAGGAGCCAUGAUAGGCUCUGUGGUAUACCCUAACACGAAUCAAAGGGGAUGCAAGAUCUUUGAUGAUGUUACUUUGUUUAAGUCAAAGCCCGGGAGCUUUCCUGUCAUUCUUCUUGUGGAUCGGGGAGAUUGCUACUUCACUUUGAAGGCAUGGAAUGCACAGAAUGGUGGAGCAGCAGCUAUUCUUGUUGCAGAUGACAGACCAGAACCAUUGAUCACCAUGGAUACCCCUGAAGAAGGGUCUGUGGCAAAUGAUGAAUAUGUGCAGAAGAUUAGUAUUCCUUCUGCCCUUGUCAGCAAAUCAUUGGGGGAUAGCAUCAAGAAGGCUUUGUCAAGUGGAGAGAUGGUUACCAUAAAUCUUGAUUGGAGCGAGACACUUCCACAUCCUGAUGAGAGAGUUGAGUAUGAGUACUGGACAAAUAGCAAUGAUGAGUGUGGACCAAAGUGUGACAGUCAAAUUAAUUUUGCCAAGAACUUCAAAGGGGUAGCUCAAUUACUUGAACAGAAAGGGUUCACUCAGUUUACUCCCCACUACAUAACUUGGUAUUGCCCUGAGGCAUUUAUCUUGAGCAAACAGUGCAAGUCUCAGUGCAUAAACCAUGGGAGAUAUUGUGCUCCAGAUCCGGAGCAAGAUUUCAGUAAAGGAUAUGAUGGUAAAGAUGUUGUUGUUCAAAACCUACGCCAAGCAUGCUUCUUUAAAGUAGCAAAUGAAAGUGGAAAACCUUGGCAAUGGUGGGACUAUGUGACAGACUUUGCAAUCCGCUGCCCAAUGAAAGAGAAUAAGUACACUGAAGAAUGCUCUGAUCAAGUUAUCAAAUCUCUUGGGGUAGAUCUAAAAAAGAUUAAAGAAUGUGUUGGAGAUCCUAAUGCGGAUGUUGAAAACCCGGUUCUUAAAUCUGAACAGGAUGCACAGAUUGGCAAAGGCUCUCGGGGUGAUGUUACUAUAUUGCCUACUCUUGUCAUAAACAACAGACAGUAUAGAGGUAAGCUGGAAAAAGGAGCUGUUCUCAAGGCAAUCUGUGCAGGUUUCCAAGAGACCACUGAACCAGCUAUUUGCCUAACUCCAGAUAUGGAAACAAAUGAAUGUAUGGAAAACAAUGGUGGUUGCUGGCAGGACAAAUCUACUAACAUCACUGCAUGCAGGGAUACUUUCCGAGGAAGAGUGUGUGAAUGCCCUAUUGUUCAAAAUGUCAAGUUUGUUGGUGAUGGAUAUACACACUGUGAAGCCUCAGGAAGCUUGCGCUGUGAAAUCAACAAUGGAGGUUGUUGGAAGGAAACCCGAGGUGGUAGAAUGUACUCUGCUUGUGUCGAUGAGCAUACCAAAGGUUGCAAAUGUCCGCCUGGAUUCAAGGGUGAUGGAGUCCGCUCUUGUGAAGAUGUGGAUGAGUGCAAAGAGAAGUUGGCCUGCCAGUGCCCAAAGUGCAAAUGCAAAAAUACCUGGGGGAGUUAUGAAUGCAGCUGCAGUGGCAACUUGGUACAUAUGCAAGAAAGUGACACAUGUAUUGCUAAAUAUAGCUCUUCAAUGACCACUGGGGGUUUUAUUUGGAUGAUGAUUUUCAUCUUGGCUGCUGUUAGUGCUGGGGGAUAUGCGUUUUACAAGUACAGGGUCCAGAGCUAUAUGGAUUCCGAGAUAAGGGCAAUUAUGGCCCAAUACAUGCCCUUGGAUAAUGAAGCAGAGGUCUCCAGCAAUCAACUUCAUCAUGACAUCUAGAUGAUAGCUGGAUAUCAAUUCUGUGUUCUGAGUUUUGCAGAAGCUCCAAGUAUAACAUAAAAGAUUACGUAAGAUAAGUAACUUGUGGAAGACUCGUCAAAAGCGGUGAAUGGAGUUCAGAUAAUUUCGUGGUAGCAAAUUAUGUGGUCCGUGGGAAAUCCUCCAGUGAGCGUGUAAGCCUUUUUCUGUUCAUGAUUUUCUACCAGUAAUUAAUUUAAUCUAUAACCCUUCUUGCUUUAUGCCGUUGGGGCUACUUGCAUCCAAUUUUCACUUCCUUAUCUUGAACAAAUGUAUAACUCAUGUGAUUGCAAAUAAGAUACGAAUAUGUUUUGGUAAAGUAGAAAUAAGAAUGAAAUAGAUAUGACAGUGAUUGGCUAUAUUGUCCUUAAUACUAUAUUGCAAAUAA